CCCUUAGAUGUCCUGGGCCGCACGCGCGCUACACUGAGUGUCUGAGAUACGAGUCUGCCUGGUCCGGCAAGGUCUAGGUAAUCGCUAAAAGACACAUCAUGCUUGGGAUAGAUUAUUGCAAAUAUUAAUCUUGAACGAGGAAUUCCUAGUAAGCGCAAGUCAACAGCUUGCGUUGAUUACGUCCCUGCCCUUUGUACACACCGCCCGUCGCUACUACCGAUUGGAUGUUAAAGCGAGGUUCUCGAACUGCUAGCGACUUAGCUUCGGUGAGGUCGCCGUGUGGGAAGUGAACCUAGCUUUGGUGUCUAGAGGAAGUAAAAGUCGUAUCA
rnacentral:rRNA from 1 species